CUCUUUUUCAUCAUCGGCGUAAGAAUGCAAUUUUUUAAAUUCAAAAAUGUGUUUUGACGUUGAUUUUGCCAAAUGCUCUGUUGAUAGUUGUUUGCACAAGCACUGUAAGCCAUUCUGAACAAAAUUGUUUCGUUUAUAUUUUAUUAGUAAGCAAUUGUUUCUGAUUUAGUGGCGACAAAAGGACGCUUGACGAGGUAGAUAUGAAGAUGACUGACAUUUUUGGUUGGCAGAAUUUUGAUGGUUCCAAAGUAUCUUUUCUUGUUCAAUUAUUCCUUGUUUCCUUUCCUUAAUCCUAAGUCUCCAGUUUUCAUUUAUCUGUCUUUUUAUUGAUUUUGUUUGAGAAGUUUGACUUUGGCUCAUGAUCUUUCUUUUCACAUUGU
rnacentral:sRNA from 1 species